AUUGCAUACCCUAAGACUACAAAAUAAUUAAGUCAAAGGAUAUGCGGCAAAAUUGUAAAUAAGACAUCUUCUAGAAACAGGGCAAAAAGACGAAAUUACCCUAAAACCACAUCAUCAAUUUUCACUUUUUCUCUCCCUUUCUCUAUCUCUCCGCCCACAAAAUCCCACCGCCAUUUGCCGCCUCUCCGUCACCGGCAACAUCUCUCCCCAAUUCAUGAUCAAUAUGGGCUUGGUUCGUAACCGCAACGGUACCGGCGACGAGAACUAUGGAUGUGUUGAUUCUACGACUCAUCAACGGAUCGUUUUAAUUGGUGAAGAAAGCUUCCCGAUGAGAGAAAUUGAGAAACUGAGAAUCUCAAGGUGUUAGAGUUUUUUGGAAUUUUUGAGAGAGAUGUGAGAUGGUGAAGAUGAGGGUAUUUUCGUCAAAAAUGUUAUGUUGUACCACUUUCUCUCUCUUGUUUUGCAAAGAAAAAAACUUGUUUAUGUCACACCUAAUUAUUUCUCAAAUAAUUAGCAUGCAGCUAAUUGACUCUUUAUUAA